ensembl:lncRNA novel transcript
AGGUACCUGGGAUCACCUGUCCAUUGGCUACACUGCCCUUUAGGGCCUCCAAAUCCCCAGCUGAAUUAUUCCCAUCCAUCUAGUAGGAAAGGAAAAAAGAAUGUUGAAGGAUCAUGCAAAAUGUUUUAGGGGCCAGUCCUGGACGUAAAAUAUGUUACAUUGGCUAGAAUGCUGUUACACAUUGCCACCUAUUUCAAGAGAUGCUGAGAUUUGGAGUCUUCUUGGGUGCCCAGAGAUUUGAGUAUCACCUAGCACUGUUUCUGCUUCAGGGAAAUGGAAGUAGAACUCUGAAGCUAAAUCAGAGGACUCCAAGCAAAUGAAGUGACUGAAAGCAAGAAUGGCUCAUUGCCCUUGAGCUACACAGAAAUGUAUAGGUGGGUGUAUUGGGUCGGUUCCCUGGAAGCACAACCUCAGAUGGGGAUUCUUGUGCAAAAGAUACACGGAGGAAGAGCUCAAGGAAGUAACUUGCAAUGAAGCAAGGGGAGCAAGCUGGAGCAGGAGAAAAGAUCAGGCAAAGGCAUGCUUUCAGAAGUCUAGCCUCGGCCUCAUCCACAGGGAGCUCCAGAGAGUGAAUGGUACCAUGCAGCUGGUCAACCUUCUUGGAGGAGGGAGCUGCUGAUAGCCUUCAGUAGACAGCACUUGCACUAGCCAAGGGAUGAGUGCACCAGCCCAGUGGAGGGGAUCUGGGUAGAGCACCUAUGCCAUCUGCUAUAAUAGACUCUACGUGUCUUCUAGGAAGGACAUGCUUUUCCUUUUCGUAUCCUCUACCUGAAGCAAUAUAUCACGUACUCAGCAGACGCUCAAUAAGUGUUUGAGAAAUGAAGAAACAAAAAGACAGAGGGAAGGAGAGAAGAAAAGAAACAAGAUUACAGAAAAUUCUAAAAUACUCUUGGGCUCCAAGAAAUGCAUCUUCAAAUAAGGAACUUCACAUACUUAUGCUGAGCAAUGAGAGAGAUAUUUUGAGAAACCUGAAAAAAUAAGAGAACUUUGAGUUUUCAGUGCUCUGGAAAUGGCAAAAAGGUAGGAUAUUUUAGUCAUGCAUUGGAAAUUAAAAGAUUGCCUCCCAUCUA